CAGCAGCCGCGGGAAUACGUAGGUGGCAAGCGUUGUCCGGAAUUAUUGGGCGUAAAGGGCCCGCAGGCGGUUUCUUAAGUCUGAUGUGAAAGCCCCCGGCUCAACCGGGGAGGGUCAUUGGAAACUGGGAAACUUGAGUGCAGAAGAGGAGAGUGGGAUUCCACGUGUAGCGGUGAAAUGCGUAGAGAUGUGGAGGAACACCAGUGGCGAAGGCGACUCUCUGGUCUGUAACUGACGCUGAGGAGCGAAAGCGUGGGGAGCGAACAGGAUUAGAGACCCCUGUAGUCCCUGUCUCUUAUAC
rnacentral:rRNA from 1 species